UGGAUUAAUUCGAUGCAAACGCGAAAACCUUACUACCCUUGACAUGUCCGGAAUCCCGAAGAGAUUGGAGUGCUCGCAAGAGAACCGGAACACAGGUGCUGCAUGGCUGUCGUCAGCUCGUGUCGUGAGAUGUUGGGUUAAGUCCCGCAACGAGCGCAACCCUUGUCAUUAGUUGCCAUCAUUUGGUUGGGCACUCUAAUGAGACUGCCGGUGACAAACCGGAGGAAGGUGGGGAUGAUGUCAAGUCAGCAUGACCUUUAUAUCCAGGGCUACACACACGCUACAAUGGUCUGUACAAUGGGUAGCCAAGCCGCGAGGCGGAGCCAAUCCUGAAAGCAGGCCUCAGUUCAGAUUGCAGUCUGCAACUCGACUGCAUGAAGCCGGAGUUGCUAGUAACCGCAGGUCAGCAAUACUGCGGUGAAUACGUUCCCGGGUCUU
rnacentral:rRNA from 1 species